AUGCUUUUCCUUGAGGAAUUAGAGGCCAGGAGAUCGCUCUGUCCGGGCGCGUGGCUGGUCAUUGGAGACUUCAACAUGAUCCUCCAAGCCACGGAUAAGAACAACUCACUCAUUGAUAGACACAUGAUGCAUAAAUUCCGCCAGUUUGUUGACGGCAACAGUCUCAAGGAGCUUUAUAUGCACGGGAGAGCCUAUACUUGGAGCAACGAAAGAGACUCCCCCACCCUUACGAAGAUUGAUAAGGCCCUAGUUUCUGUGGAUUGGGAGCUGGCGCAUCCGGACUGCCUCCUGCAAGCUCUAUCCACUUCCUCCUCGGAUCAUUGCCCUUUGCAUCUUACCCUUCAGGAGAGCAUGCACCCACAGAAGCGCUUUAGAUUCGAGGUGUUUUGGACCAAGCUUGAGGGCUAUGAGGAUGCGGUGAAGGAUGCUUGGGUGUGCGACCCAGCCGUGCAUGACCCUUUCAAACGCUUGGAUAUCUUGCUAAGGAACACGGCGCGAUACCUGACUUCAUGGGGGCAAAAAAAGAUGGGCAAUAUUAAGCUUCAGAUUGCGAUCGCGAACUGGAUCAUCUUCCAGUUGGAUGUGGCGCAGGAAAAGCGCCGGCUUACGGAUGGGGAACGGUGGCUUAGGAGGACAUUAAAGUUGACCACACUAGGUCUUGCCUCGCUUGAGCGCACAAUUGCUCGCCAAAGAUCGAGGAUACGCUGGAUUCAAGAGAGUGAUGCAAGCACCAAACUGUUCUACCUCGUGGCGAAUGGGAGGAAGACGAAGAAUUUCAUUCCAGCGAUAUCGCAUGAUGGGAACUUGAUCACAGAUCAGCUUGGGAAAGAGCAGCUCUUCUUUGAGGCCUACAAAGAUCUGCUGGGAACUGCGAGGAGGCGCGACAACACCGUGGAUUUGGACUUCCUUAGGAUCCAACCCAUCAACUUGAACGACCAGGACACGGUGUUUACGGAGGAGGAUCUGUGGGCCACCAUUAAAGAGAUGCCCGCUGAUCGGGCGCCCGGUCCGGAUGGAUUCAUUGGAUUAUUCUUCCAUAAGUCUUGGAGUACUGUCAAGGGAGACGUGAUGGCCGCUCUGCACCACUUGUUUCUUGGCAAUGGUCACGGAUUUGGGCGCCUCAACCAAGCUCUUAUCACGCUAAUCCCGAAGAAGCGGGGAGCUUGUCAGGUGGGAGAUUUUAGGCCUAUUAGCUUGGUGCAUAGCUUGCCAAAGAUUGGAUCCAAAUUACUAGCGAACAGACUAAGACCACGCAUGAAUGAGCUCGUACAGCCCAACCAGUCGGUGUUUAUCAAAGGAAGGAACUUGCAUGACAAUUUCUUGCUUGUCAGACAAGUAGCUCGGUCUCUUCACCGACGUAAAUCUAAAGGAGUCAUGCUUAAACUGGACAUCUCGAAGGCCUUCGACAGCUUAUCUUGGCCUUUCUUGUUUGAAGUCCUUCAGGCCAAGGGCUUUUCAGAAACAUGGCUCUCCUGUAUAUCCACGCUCCUAUCCACAGCUCACUCCCGUGUGGUAGUCAACGGCUAUGUAGGUCAAAAAUUCUUGCAUGCUCAAGGCUUACGCCAGGGAGAUCCCGUCUCACCACUCCUAUUCGUCAUCGCUAUGGACGUGCUCACAUCUCUCAUCAACACAGCACAGGAGUGCAAUGUGCUGAGUACUAUGCCGGGUUGCACGCCGAUGCAAAGGCUUUCUAUAUAUGCGAAUGAUGUGGUUCUAUUUAUCAGGCCCACCACCUCUGAUCUUCGGUUCGUCAGAGAGGCUUUGCACAUCUUCGGAAAUGCCUCGGGUUUGCGUAUAAACUAUGAGAAAUCAGUGGCAAUCCUGAUCAGAGAGGAAGACGGAGACAAGGAGCUUGUCCAAGGGGCGAUGCCUUGGCGCUUGGAGAGUUUUCCCUGCAAGUAUCUGGGCCUCCAACUAUCCAUCUGA
rnacentral:rRNA from 1 species